UCCUCUUUACAGAGGCAGUUUGUCUUGAGUCCCCGACUUUACUCGCUGGUAACAAAACAUGAGGGUUGCGCUCGUUGCGGGACUUAACCCAACAUUUCACAACACGAGCUGACGACAGCCAUGCACCACCUGUGUGCCACCCUCGAAGGCGGCUACGUUUCGGCAGCUUGCAGGCACAUGUCAAGCCCUGGUAAGGUUCUUCGCGUUGCAUCGAAUUAAGCCACAUGCUCCACCGCUUGUGCGGGCCCCCGCCAAUUCCUUUGAGUUUCAACCUUGCGGCCGUAGUCCCCAGGCGGUUCACUUAAUGCGUUAGCUGCGGCACCGAGGGAAACCCCCGACACCUAGUGAACAUCGUUUAUGGCCAAGACUAC
rnacentral:misc_RNA from 1 species